UUACGUGGGACGUAAAGCGCAUGCAGGUGGUUUGUUAAGUCAGAUGUAGAAACGGCCCGGGGCUACAACCGUACGGUAAUUGCUAUUUAGAAACGUGGACAAACUAGAGUACUGUAGAGGGGGUAGAAUUUCAGGUGUAGCGGUGAAAUGCGUAGAGAUCUGAAGGAAUACCGGUGGCGAAGGCGGCCCCCUGGACAGAUACUGACACUCAGAUGCGAAAGCGUGGGGAGCAAACAGGAUUAGAUACCCUGGUAG
rnacentral:rRNA from 1 species